UACGUAGGGUGCAAGCGUUGUCCGGAAUUAUUGGGCGUAAAGAGCUCGUAGGCGGCUUGUCACGUCGACUGUGAAAACCCGGGGCUCAACUCCGGGCCUGCAGUCGAUACGGGCUGGCUUGAGUGCGGUAGGGGAGACUGGAAUUCCUGGUGUAGCGGUGAAAUGCGCAGAUAUCAGGAGGAACACCGGUGGCGAAGGCGGGUCUCUGGGCCGUAACUGACGCUGAGGCGCGAAAGCUAGGGGAGCAAACGGG
rnacentral:rRNA from 1 species